rnacentral:rRNA from 1 species
AACGAACGCUGGCGGCAUGCCUAACACAUGCAAGUCGAACGGGAUCCUAGCUUCGGUUAGGUGAGAGUGGCGGACGGGUGAGUAACACGUGGGAACCUGCCUUUUGGUUCGGGAUAACCGCGGGAAACUGCGGCUAAUACCGAAUACUCCCGAGAGGGGAAAGAUUUAUCGCCAGAAGAGGGGCCCGCGUCCGAUUAGGUAGUUGGUGGGGUAAUGGCCUACCAAGCCGACGAUCGGUAGCUGGUCUGAGAGGAUGAUCAGCCACACUGGGACUGAGAUACGGCCCAGACUCCUACGGGAGGCAGCAGUGGGGAAUAUUGGACAAUGGGGGCAACCCUGAUCCAGCAAUGCCGCGUGAGUGAUGAAGGCCUUAGGGUUGUAAAGCUCUUUUGCCAGGGAAGAUGAUGACUGUACCUGGAGAAUAAGCCCCGGCUAACUUCGUG